rnacentral:lncRNA from 1 species
AGAAAGUAAAACUCCUGGCAAGGCGCCCUAACAAAAUAUAGCCAGGAUUUAUAUUUAACACCCCAGGAUAUCUCUUUUUAGAGUCAAAUUUUAAGAUGUUGGAUGAUCAUAGAAAGUAAAACUCCUGGUAAGGCGCCCUAACAAAAUAUAGCCAGGAUUUAUAUUUAACACCCCAGGAUAUCUGUAAGUACCCUUGUUUAAAUUUUUGAUAGUAGUAAAUAUUCCCUAAUCCCUAACUUCUUCUUAACGAACUCACAACCUUAGCUCUCCAACCAAAACACGAGCCGCCGUAGCAAAGUAGUUUUUAGAAAUAUCCCCUAGUUUUCUCGACCCUUUUGUAUUUAAGCAGUAUCUAAAUUUU